rnacentral:rRNA from 1 species
UACGGAGGGUGCGAGCGUUGUCCGGAAUCACUGGGCGUAAAGGGCGCGUAGGCGGCGCGGAUAGUCGGCGGUGAAAGCCCGGAGCUCAACUCCGGGUCGGCCGUCGAUACUUCCGGGCUUGAGCACUGUAGAGGCAGAUGGAAUUCCGGGUGUAGCGGUGGAAUGCGUAGAGAUCCGGAGGAACACCGAAGGCGAAGGCAGUGUCCUGGGGAGUACCUGACGCUCAGGUGCGAAAGCCAGGGGAGCGAACAGG